UACGAAGGGGGCUAGCGUUGUUCGGAAUUACUGGGCGUAAAGCGCACGUAGGCGGAAUGUUAAGUCAGGGGUGAAAUCCCGGGGCUCAACCCCGGAACUGCCUUUGAUACUGGCAUUCUCGAGUCCGGAAGAGGUGAGUGGAAUUCCGAGUGUAGAGGUGAAAUUCGUAGAUAUUCGGAGGAACACCGGUGGCGAAGGCGGCUCACUGGUCCGGUACUGACGCUGAGGUGCGAAAGCGUGGGGAGCAAACAGG
rnacentral:rRNA from 1 species